UCUAGCAGUUUCUAGUUUUGCUGUGUUGUUUCGGAGUGUGUGAACGCUUCGCAAUUAAUCGCGUAUUUUAUCCGUUAAAAGUGUACAAUAAGUCUGAAUUUUUAUCGGAAAUGCCGAUUAAAGUAACGGGCGAUUGCGGGAGUGUAUUUAUUGCUGAUGUUGGCGAUUAACGACAUUUAGUCGAUCGCCGUACCGUGGGAAAUGAAAACGGCGCGAACAAAUCCGGUGAGUACGGAAUUUCGAUGAAAAUGAUCGUUCAAAAGAAUCGAGACGCUAUUGCCAAACAAUGUACUACUUUAUAAGAAUGAGGUAUCUUGAAUAUUCAGUUUCUCGGAAUCGGGCAGAACAUGAGAGUUGUUAUGUUUUCGGUGACAACCUUGGCGCGACUGCUAAUGUAGUUGUGUAGUUUGUCUCGCUCGCUCGAAGAAUGUGUUUACUACGCGUGUGUUUACUAGACGCGCCGUGCGUAUCAGGUUACUAUUAUAUGCGCGAACGCGACCGCGGCAGAAAGUGCCUCUUUUAUUCUUUUAGAUCUCAUUUCGUUUACGUUCGUGUAGCGUGGUGUAACGAGUGCGCGACGUGAAUCCGUGUGACUUUCGCGUAAGUGAAGUGCGCGGCUUGUGUUUCGUUCAGUGCGGAUUUCCGGAAUUCAUCGAUUUUUCGAUGGAGCUGAUAAAGUGGGAUCCGAGGUGGAAUCUACAGCGGCGAAGCAGACUACAAUACCCUAGCUGGUACAGCUGAGAAGGCGUACUUAGCUAGGGUACAACGACUGGUUUGACGAGGAAAAACCCCGUGGGCGAAUGAGGGAGGAGUUCGCGGAGGGCAAGUUCGAAGAUGAGAGUUUGAGUCGAGCGGGAAGUGCUUUCAAGAGUGCCUGGGCCUUGGUUCGCGCGUUCCGUUAACGACGAGAGAGCAGAAGACGAGUGCUGUAAAAAGGAGGCGGCGAGCGGGGCGAGUGUGUCGCUGACACGAGUUGACGCGCGUGACGUGACGUGACGUGACGUGACAUCGUCGAGGCGUCGAGGAUGCCUCGAGAUGAGAUGGCCGCUCCCCUCGGAUCCCUCGCGUCGCUCCUCGUGCUUCUACUCUGCGCUUCCAGCAAUUGCCAUGCCAGGAUAACCAAUCAGGAAAUCGUGACAAUGACAGAUGCGGAAACAGUGGCAGGCGGAAUUGCUCAGCUACCGUGCGACGUGAAACCGCCGCUCCCGGGGGACAAGCUGCACCUAGUUAUUUGGUACAAGGAGGAGGCGGACGCGCCGAUAUACAGCUUCGACACGAGAGGGAAAAAUAACUUGGACGACGGGAGUCACUGGCAGGAUCGGAAUUUAGAGGACCGCGCGUACUUUCAGCACUCCGAAAACCCCGCAAAACUCACCCUGAAAAAUGUUCGCGAGAACGACGCAGCUGUUUACAGAUGCAGAGUCGACUUUAAGCAGUCGCCAACGCGCAACAGCAAAGUCAAUCUAACGGUCAUCAUACCGCCGGAGCAGCUUAUCAUAUUGCUCGAAGACGGCGUUCAUAUUCCCCAUUACAUCCUUGGCCCGUACAGCGAGGGAGCGUCUAUCAAUAUCACGUGUGUCGCCGCUGGUGGGCGACCGCAACCACGAGUGACAUGGUGGCAGGAGAAUGCUCUACUGGACGACAGCUACGAGACCGUGGGUACUAAAAGGGUCCGCAAUGUGCUGCGAUUGGAAAAGUUAGGCCGCGAACAUUUGCAUGCGGUUCUGACCUGCCAGGCUUCAAACAACAAUAUGGUGGCACCGAUAUCGAGUUCGGUGUCACUCGAUAUGUAUUUGAAACCGCUCUGGGUCCGGAUUCAAGGAGAAAACCGUCCAUUUAGCGCCAACAGGAGUUACGAUAUAGGUUGCGAGGUUGUCGGAGCCAAACCGAGUCCGACGAUCGCGUGGUCUAAAGGAAACACGAUACUGCGAAAUGCACGAGAGAUGACGAGCACCGACAGCAACACAACAACCAGCAUCCUCACAUUCGUGCCGAGUAUCGAAGAUGCCGGAAAGUUUCUCUACUGUCGCGCCAGCGUGCCAAAUAUUCCGGGCUCAGAGAUGGAGGACCAAUGGAAGCUCAAUAUAUAUCACGCGCCUGUGGUUUCCCUCGAGCUUGGCAGCAAUUUGAAUUCGAGUGCUAUUCGGGAGGGUAUCGACGUUUACUUCGAGUGCAACAUCAAGUCCAAUCCCUGGGUUUACAAGGUUACCUGGCGCCAUAACGGCAAUCCGCUGUAUCACAAUCCGGCGACCGGAACGAUAAUAAGUAAUCAGAGCCUGGUGCUGCAAAGCGUCACUCGCAGUAGAGCUGGGAUUUACACGUGCAUCGGCUACAAUCAAGAGGGCGAUAGCGAGAGCAAUCAACUGAACUUGGACAUAAAGUUUGUGCCGGUAUGCCAACACGGCCAGACGAAGGUAUUCGGCGUGGCGCGGCAGGAGACCGCGAGCAUCCCCUGCGAGCUGGAGGCGAACCCGCCGGAAGUAUCGUUCACCUGGAAAUUCAAUAAUACAAUGGAGGCGGUGGACAUAGCUCAGGCGCACAUCACGAGUGAGCAUACACACUCGACGGCCUCCUACACACCGAUGACCGAACUGGACUAUGGUACUCUCCUUUGCUGGGGCAGCAAUGACCAGGGCACUCAGCUCGAGCCGUGCGUCUACCACGUCGUGCCAGCUGGCCGCCCGGAUACGCCGCACAACUGCUCCUUGCUAAAUCAAACGACCGAUUCGAUCUACGUGGAGUGCGUGGAGGGCUUCGACGGCGGGCUACCGCAAAAGUUCACCAUGCAGGUGGACCGCGAAGCCGGCAAAGGCGGUGCCACGACCGUCUACAACCAGACCAGCAAAAUACCCAUCUUUUCGGUCGGCAAUCUGGACCCCGGCACCACCUACGAGGUCACCAUUUACUCCACCAACAGCAAAGGUCGCAGCGAGACCGUGCACUUUCGCGCCACCACCCUCAAUCUCCCUGAGAGACGAACAGCAGAUAAGGGGCUGGCGCAACCGCCCUCGCCGGAGAAUUGCACGAUCCGGGAGGAGAGCCGGACGACCGUGCGGGUGAGCUGCGCCGAGAGCGAGUACUUCGACGCGAACACCGCCACCUACGUGCUGCAGGUCUUCGACGCCGACACCAGACGGCUGUUGGCGUCCGCGACGAGCCUGACGCCGAGCAUGCUCGAGGUGACGGAUCUGCCGGCCGAGAGGAGCCAGUCCGGCCUCGUGCUGUCCCUCAGGAUCAUGACGGCGCACACGAUGAGCGACGCCACGGUCCUCCACAGUCCGCACUUUAUUCAGGAUAAUACCCAGGAGCAGCAGCGUACAGCCCUGACGCCAGUUAUGCUGUCGCUGUCGGGUCCAUUGUUGGGCGCCGUGGUGGGGGCCACAGCGGGGCUGCUCCUGGUGAUCUUCGUGAUCGUGCUGGCUGUCAGGCUGCGCUAUCGACCCCGAUCGCAGGAGGACUCUCACGACGACGGCGGCAUGGCGAACCUAGCUGCGUCGGGCACCGGCGCCUCGUCCCCGCGUGACAAAUCGUCGACCUUGCCCCUCAGCACCGAUAGCAUCGAGAGCUUCGAGAAGAAUCCUGAUAUAAUACCGCACGCGAACGAAAAUUCGUACGCGGAAUUGUGCAAAGGAACGUCGCCGCGAUACGUGCUGCAGCAGCAACGUCCAGACACGAAUACCUUCUCAGCAGCGAACAACUCCGAGCUAACGUACGCCGAAUUAACGCUGAGGGGAAAUCGGCGAAUACCCCCAAACUGCUACCAGCCUGUGCAAAUCUCCAGCCUCCAGCGGCCCCAGCUGCUGCCCAUGUCGACUUUGACACGCAGACAGCCGAUCCAGGAGCCGACGAUUUACGCGCAAGUCGCCAGUCAUUCUAAACCGAUUUACGUGCCACCACCACACCCGUACAUGAAUCGUCCUAGCGACGAAACUACGGCGGAGACGCCGUUGAUUGGACACGACAAUAAGGUAAAACGGCAAGGACUGUAUUGAAAUUACUUUCAAUUCAUUAAAUGAGCGAUCAUAGCAAAAUUGACAUGUACAGCAAAUUACAAUCACUACGAUCAGCCAUUCGAGCAGCUCAAUCUGGCGCACCGACACGCCGCCUUCCUCGAACGCCCAAGCAACAUGAUUUCCGCAAGCUG
rnacentral:misc_RNA from 1 species